UGGGUGGAUUAGUGGCGAACGGGUGAGUAACACGUGAGUAACCUGCCCUUAACUCUGGGAUAAGCCUGGGAAACUGGGUCUAAUACCGGAUAGGAGCGUCCACCGCAUGGUGGGUGUUGGAAAAU
rnacentral:rRNA from 1 species